GUGGUCGGGAUUUGGGCCCUGGCCCUGGGGAUCCUGGCCCGGCCCCAGUGGGCUCUUCCCGUCGUGCACUUGUAGGACGUCGGGGGCGCUGCCGCUUAGGCCGCUAAGGGUCUGCUGCGCAAUGUCAUGUGAUGACAGAGAUAAUUUUCGCACCUGACAAAGUAGCAGGAAUUUAAAAGGGUGAACGAAGAAGAGGAGACUCCAGUGGCUGAAGUUGGUAAAGCUGCUUUCGAGUCCUAGCUGCCUUCCACCUCCAUAUUCUGAAGGACUACCUUGCUCAUUAAAAAAUACAAGUUACCUGCGUGGUGGCUCAUGCCUGUAAUCCCAGAACUUUGGGAGGCUGAGUUUGCCUGUGUUGGAUGAGGUCAUGGAGCAACUUUGGAGAUAGAAGUCACAUGCUAGGACACUGGAGCUGAAAAAUAGAGCUUGGUGCCUGAAGACCAUGAAGUCCACAUAUCAAACCCUGAAUUGUCUCCUUCUUUCACACAAGAGAGAAAGUAUCUUGUGUUUAUGAUAUUCUUGUUUGGGUCCUUGGUAACAUGAACCCAAACUUUAUCCUAACUGUUACAAACUGAAAUAUCCACCAAUAGAAAAAUGGUUAAAUAAAUUGUGGUGCAUCUGUACUAUGGAAUAUUAUCCAGCAGCUACAAAGGAUGAGACCAAUAUAUAUGUUGUUCUUUAAAUAAUGGCUACCAAAAAAAAGGAUUCCCUCUUCUGCCUUUUUGAAUUCCAUUGAUGUGUUCAAGGUUUUCCUCAAACAUAACCUCCAUUAGGAAGCAUCCCCCAACUGUUGGGGCAGAGAUAUUUAAUUCAUUCAUUCAUUCACAAUGAAGAUUCUAUAUUACUUGAGAUCCUGCUCUAAUAGAAGCACUAUGUGCUUGCUGCUUGAGUGGAUAUAAAAUUAAUAAGAAAUUAUAUUUGUCUCUAGGGAUUUACUGUUUUAAUGGACAUAUAAAGAAAGUAGGCAUUUGU